rnacentral:lncRNA from 1 species
ACGUCUGCAGGUUUGUAAUAUGUUCAUGUGUGGGGGGGGAAAAGAGGAAGGGGGAUAAGGGCAGGGGGAAGAGGAAGGGGGAAAAGGCAGGGGUUAAGGGAAGGCGGAGUGAUAGGGCAAUGGGGCCUCACACGACACCGCUCGGGCGGAGACGCACCUUGAGGCAGCGCCUGAUGUGCUAAGCUGGAGUUGGUGGAGGUGGAGGGGAGGGUUUGUUCGGGGGCCCGGAGCUCAACAAGCACCUGCGCUAGUCGGGCACGGGAUGGGAUGGGGUGGGAAUUUUUUUUAUGUGAGACGGGAUUUCUUCCUGGGAAAAAGGGGGGAACUUUCUCCCCAUCGGCCGAUGGUGGCCUGGCUGGUGGUGGCAUUGGCAUGGGGAGCUGGAUUGGGGCUGCUUUCCUCCAUUUUUCAUUGAUUGGAUUAAGCAAGAGGUUGUAAGCAGGGGGAAGGUGUUGUAUAGGGAGACGAGAGAUUUGGGUUUACACGUGCGUGAUUUAGGAAAGCGCGGGGCCCGGUGGCGAGGGGGCGAUGGUGGGUGCAUCACUGCAUUCUCGUGGAUCGUCGCCGGGGACGAUAACAAUUCGUCGCCAACCCCGCAGCACCUCCAUGGUUUCACCUUGCUGGUGCUCUUCGGAGGCAGCUCGAGGACCAGAUGGGGCGGCUUGGGCUUGAGCUCCGUGUGAAGAUCAGCUGGCGCGGUCAACCGGAAGUUUGGCGAGAACGGAUACGAGAUGACCGUGAGCAGCGCGCGGUUGGUGUUAUUCUUGAUGAGCAAGUUUCUGGUUUGGGGUGCAGAGGAAGGUAACGUAGAGCUGUUUUUAAACACGACUUCGCUGGGCACUGUGUACACCUCGGCUUCCAUUAUCUUAGAGGGCUAGACCGCUUUGCGCGGACAUCAGCGUGACG